rnacentral:pre_miRNA from 1 species
UCUGAUGUGCAUCACUUGGAGACCUUCUUAAAAGGCAGAUUCUGUAGGUGGGACUUGUAACUCUGCAAGUCUAACAGACCCCCAGGGGGUGCCCAUGCUAC